GUCCUUCCCCUUAAGUUUUCUUUUCUCUCCUUUCUUGUCUUUUUCUUUUUCUUUCUCUUUGCCUUCUUUUGCUUUACCCUUCUGCUUCUCUUCCUCUCCUUCACCUUCUGAUUCUUUCUCAAAAUCUACUAUUUCAAUUUCCCUGGAGGUUAUGUCAGUCUCACACUUCAUGUCAUUUGCUCCAUCUUCGUGUUUCUUCUUCUCCUUCUCAUCAGUUUCUUUCUUCUUGCUCUUCUCUUCGUCCUUGUGCUUUGUUUCUUUCUCUUCUUUGUCUUUCUUCUUCUCUUUUUUCUCUUCUUUCUCUUUCUUCUUCUUCUUCUCUCCUACCUCUUCAUCUUCAUCCUUGUGCUUCUUUUCUUUCUUCUUCUCCUUUUCUUUCCUGUCUUUUUCUUUUUCUUCCUCUUUGCCUUCUUUUGCUUUACCCUUCUGCUUCUCUUCCUCUCCUUCACCUUCUGAUUCUUUCUCAAAAUCUACUAUUUCAAUUUCCCUGGAGGUUAUGUCAGUCUCACACUUCAUGUCAUUUGCUCCAUCUUUGUGUUUCUUCUUCUCCUCCUCAUCAGUUUCUUUCUUCUUGCUCUUCUCUUCGUCCUUGUGCUUUGUUUCUUUCUCCUCUUUGUCUUUCUUUUUCUCCUUUUUCUCUUCUUUCUCUUUCUUCUUCUUCUUCUCUCCUACCUCUUCAUCUUCAUCCUUGUGCUUCUUUUCUUUCUUCUUCUCCUUUUCUUUCCUGUCUUUUCUUUUCUUUCUCUUUGCCUUCUUUUGCUUUACCCUUCUGCUUCUCUUCCUCUCCUUCACCUUCUGAUUCUUUCUCAAAAUCUACUAUUUCAAUUUCCCUGGAGGUUAUGUCAGUCUCACACUUCAUGUCAUUUGCUCCAUCUUCGUGUUUCUUCUUCUCCUUCUCAUCAGUUUCUUUCUUCUUGCUCUUCUCUUCGUCCUUGUGCUUUGUUUCNCUCUCCUCUCU
rnacentral:lncRNA from 1 species